AUGAUUCGAACCGUUUAAUACUAGCGUUUAACCCGUUCUAUACACGGGUAAAACUAACACGUUAUAGCAUUGUGCCCGUUCAAACCUACUUUUAUUAAUUGUCCCGUGUAUCGAACGGGCACAACGCUAGAACGGGUUAAACGCUAUGUCUCUCACAAUCUAAUGGUCAAUUUUGUAGAAAAGUAAUGACAACAUCUUAUCUAGUGAGGAAAAUUGUUAACUAUAUUUAUCUUCGUGGCAUUCCAGACAAUUACAGUCUUAUAAAGGUACGGCCAGUUAUGUUAAACUCAAUCCCUUCUGUUAAACUAUACUGGGAUCCUAAUUGAAGCAUUCCAUCGAACACGUGGAAGCCACUGAAGCAUUAUGUUUUUUAAGCCAAAUUUUCCAAUUACAUUGGAAAGCAAAGAGGGUAAACAGAUUUUUAUUAAAUGCAGUAAAGAGGGUAAACAGAUUUUUAUUAGGAUCAAAGUAACGUCAAAAAAUAAGGAAGAUUAUUAGGGCGAGAAUGAAUGGUUUACCUGUUU